GUUCAAACAGGGCAGUCGCAUGUGUAGGAGCUCCGGUAUCGUUUCGGCCUAUUUCUUCUAAAAGUUUGCCGCUUACAUGCUUUCUCCAACCUGUUUAAUCUCCCAAACCACCCUAUCGGCAACACGUGGCUUAAGCAUGUAUUGAUAUCAUAUAUGGGCAUAAACCCUCGACCAAUCAGCAUCAAGGAUAAGCCACUUCCUCUUAUGACGUCAGAAGCGGAGAAUUAAGCUCCGCCCAAUGUACCAGGUCCUCCAGUGCUGUCAGUGGACAAACAGGAGGUGACGGGUGUGGAUGGAGACAGUGUCAGUGUUACUAUGGAAACAACAAAAGACAUAGGAUGUGGUGUAAUAUUGGGGGUUCCUGUGCAUCAGAGAGAUCAGCGAGUUUGGAUGGGAGGCCUGUCCUGAUCAGGGAUGAAACAGAAAAUAAAACCUUCAUUGUGACAAUGAGUGGGCUGGAGAGGAAGGACACUGGCUGGCAUUGGUGUGCUGCUGGAAACCUGCAGAUUCCAGUUCAUAUAACUGUCAAACGUAAGUAAUUGAUUUAAAUCUGCCUGUGAAUCCUUUGUGCUUGAAUAUAAAUAGAUAAAUACUAAUUUUAUUUUAUUUUUGAAACCCAGCAGUUUCACUCACAAAGGGGUUUGUGCUUCUUUGUGGGGAUAUUUAUCAGCUGUUGUGAAACAAUUAUUUAUUGGGAUUAUUGUUUCAAUGAUAGUGGCACGGUGGUCCAGUAGGUGGCGCUGUUGCUUCACACCUCCAUGUUCAGGGGUUUGAAUCUGGCUUCUGCUCUUUCUGUGUGGAGUUUGCAUGUUCUCUACAUGCUGUGUGGGUUUCCUCCAACAAUCCAAAAACACACAGUCAGCCUAAUUGGUGUCUCUAAUAUAGAAUGUGUGUCUUCUAGUUUAUGAUCAGUCUAAUUGUGUGAAGACUGACUAACAUGUCUGUAGGUGGUUUUUCAUUGCAGCGUAGGCCAGUGUUACAGUUGUACUCUGUAAUAUCUGUUCCAGUGCUGCAUCCAUCCAUUGUCUGAAACUGCUUGUCUAAUUCAGGGUCCCUAUGGGCGCAAGGCAGGGUACGUCCCAUGACAGGGUGCCAACCCAUUGCAGGACACACUCACACUCCAUUCUCUCGCACAAGCACACCUACCGGCAAUUUGACAACUCCAAUUAGCCUCAGCAUGUUUUUGGACUAUGGGGGGAAAUCAGAGUACCUGGAGGAAACCCCACAAUGACACGGGGAGAACAUGCAAACUCCACACACACAGAACUCUGGUAGAGACUUGAGCACACGUGCCAGAGGUGUGAGGUGACAUUGCAAACCACUGCACCACCGUGCCACCCUGCUACAAUAAAUACAUUAUAAUAUGUUAAUAAAAUCAUUUAUCUCACCUGUUCACUAUCAGUGCCGUGGGAUGUGAAUACUUUGGUCAUGACACUAAUUCAUUGUUCUCCAUCUAAUCAUUUUCUCUGUAGAAUACCUUUCAUAAUUUAUAUUUCAGUUUCAAGAGUGACCUUUUCUUAGUCUUUAUUGACUAACAGAGCACUGCUUUUUAUUAACGAUCCUUUCUCCUGUUUCCACUGCUCUCCUUUUCUCUGCACAUGAGGAAG